rnacentral:rRNA from 1 species
AACGUAGGGUGCAAGCGUUGUCCGGAAUUACUGGGUGUAAAGGGAGCGCAGGCGGACCGGGAAGUUGGAAGUGAAAACUAUGGGCUCAACCCAUAAAUUGCUUUCAAAACUGCUGGCCUUGAGUAGUGCAGAGGUAGGUGGAAUUCCCGGUGUAGCGGUGGAAUGCGUAGAUAUCGGGAGGAACACCAGUGGCGAAGGCGACCUACUGGGCACCAACUGACGCUGAGGCUCGAAAGCAUGGGUAGCAAACAGG